rnacentral:rRNA from 1 species
AACGAACGCUGGCGGCAGGCCUAACACAUGCAAGUCGAACGCUCUAGCAAUAGAGAGUGGCAGACGGGUGAGUAACGCGUGGGAACCUUCCCUGUGGUGCGGAAUAACUCGCCGAAAGGCGUGCUAAUACCGCAUAAGCCCGCAAGGGGAAAGAUUUAUCGCCAUAGGAUGGGCCCGCGUAGGAUUAGCUAGUUGGUGAGGUAAUGGCUCACCAAGGCGACGAUCCUAGCUGGUUUGAGAGAAUGACCAGCCACACUGGGACUGAGACACGGCCCAGACUCCUACGGGAGGCAGCAGUGGGGAAUCUUGGACAAUGGGCGCAAGCCUGAUCCAGCCAUGCCGCGUGAGUGACGAAGGCCUCGGUUG